rnacentral:rRNA from 1 species
CGCCUCCUGCAAUAUAAAGUAUAGGAGGUCCAGCCUGCCCAGUGACUACGGGUUCAACGGCCGCGGUAUAUUGACCGUGCAAAGGUAGCGCAAUCACUUGUCUUUUAAAUAGAGACCUGUAUGAAUGGCUAGACGAGGGCUUAACUGUCUCCCCCUUCCAGUCAGUGAAAUUGAUCUAUCCGUGCAGAAGCGGGUAUAAUACUACAAGACGAGAAGACCCUUUGGAGCUUAAGGUACAAAAUUCAGCCAUGUUAAGCAACUCCAUAGAAAGCAAGAACUUUAUGGCCAUGAAACUUUACCUUCGGUUGGGGCGACCACGGAGGAAAAGCAAGCCUCCGAGUGGACUGGGCCAAACCCCUAAAGCUAAAAGAGACAUCUUUAAGCCGCAGAACAUCUGACCAACAAUGAUCCGACCAAGAGGUCGAUCAACGGACCAAGUUACCCUAGGGAUAACAGCGCAAUCCUCUCCCAGAGCCCAUAUCGACGAGGGGGUUUACGACCUCGAUGU